GUCUACAGCCAUGCUACCCUGAACAAGCCCGAUCCUGUCUGACCUUGGAAGCUAAGCAGGGUCGGGCCUCAUUAGUACUUGGAUAGGAGACCACCUAGGAAGACCAGGUGCUGUAGGCA
rnacentral:rRNA from 1 species